AAGGGCGCGAACCACAUCCAAUUUUUUCUCAGUUUUUAAUUAUUUUUGGCUAAACCCAGUUAGAACAUCACUCUAUCCGUCUCUCUCUCAUUCUCUAUAAUUUUCCCAUCUACCGUGACCUAGAGAAUCUCACAAAUUCUCUCAUUAGUGCUGCAGAUUGACGGAGGUGUGCACGGUGGCGUCUAUAGGGAGUUUAGGGCCUAGGGGAGGAACGAAGGACGGUGAAAGAUGAAAUCAUGAAGUCAUCAGAGAGGCGGAUCGGGAGAGAGGAGGUUAUUUCUGUAAGAAAUUCAGAGCUCCAAGGCCGCCGCCGAAUCCGACGGUGUUGUUGAUACCAUCGGUGAAGCAGCUGAUAUUAAGGAGCUUGUAGGUGAAACACAUGAAGAUACAGUCGAUUUCUUAAAGUUUUGUCUAAUGGAAGGCAUAUCAAUCAUUUAGUACAAGAAUUAAUAAACGUCAUUGGCAGAGAAUGGUUAUUACAGCCACUAUACCUCAAUCCCAAGCAAGUUGAGAUCGGUUACUUGAAUACUCAAGUAGUUGUGUCUCACUCCACUUAAGCUUAUAUUAACCAGUAUCCUUUAUCUCAGACCAUUAUUAUACAGAGAAUGGUUGCCACCUAUGAAUAAAACCAUGUUGAAUAGACAAUUAUGUACUUCCCGUGCAUUAAUUAAUUCUGGAAUGGGAAAUUGAACAGUUGUCUUCCUCCUGCUCUGGCCAUAUGUUGUGGUAACUGUGCCCUAUUGUGCCUGGUGCUGCACUUUCACAUUAGGGAAAACUUGGCAUCUGCUUCAUCAAAAAUUGAGGUUGUGGUGAGAAAGUUCUACAGUUCUACAAGAGCUGUUUAAAGAGCCUAACCCGCAAAUGGAAUCCACCAUUGAUACUUGCAUCAGAGUAGAUUGCGUACAUUACACCCCUUUAGGUGCCGCCCUUCCCUAGGCCCUGCGGAAAUGAGGGAUGCUUCGUGCACCAGGCUGCCCUUUUUUUCUUUUCUCAUUUACCCGCAAAUGGCUAUACAAGCUCUAACUAUGAUUGUAUAUUUCAUCGAGACCUUAUAUUUAGUUUUCUUCAAAUCAUGUUGGCUAGCCUAAUCGAACAAGAAUGAGGGACUUGCUUAUUAUCAUACAAAAUUAAUAGCCAUGUUUUUGUCAUGUUAUGAUUUUCUAACAGCCAUUUUGUUUCGAUAUUGUAUGUGUAAGACCUAAAAGUUAGACCACGCCCUGUUGUCUUUGCAUCUUUUUCUGGUGGACCAAAAGCAUGCAUGUAUAAGGUUCUCCAUUUAAACAACAUGUCCUCGAAUAUUAUUUUGAAAAAAAUGUAAUUUGGUCUUUGUUACCCAUAUGUACAUCUUUUUCUGGUGGACCAAAAGCAUGCAUGUAUAAGGUUCUCCAUGUAAACAACAUGUCCUCGAAUAUUAUUUUGAAAAAAAUGUAAUUUGGUCUUUGUUA